rnacentral:rRNA from 1 species
CGGGAAUAUUGGGCAAUGGGCGAGAGCCUGACCCAGCCAUGCCGCGUGCAGGAAGAAGGCUUUCUGAGUCGUAAACUGCUUUUGACAGGGAAGAAUAAGCACUACGUGUAGUGCGAUGACGGUACCUGCAGAAUAAGCACCGGCUAACUCCGUGCCAGCAGCCGCGGUAAUACGGAGGGUGCGAGCGUUGUCCGGAUUUAUUGGGUUUAAAGGGUGCGUAGGCGGCCCGUUAAGUCCGGGGUGAAAGCCCGCUGCUCAACAGCGGAACUGCCCUGGAUACUGACGGGCUUGAGUACAGACGAGGUUGGCGGAAUGGACUGAGUAGCGGUGAAAUGCAUAGAUACAGUCCAGAACCCCGAUUGCGAAGGCAGCUGACUAGGCUGUUACUGACGCUGAGGCACGAAAGCGUGGGGAGCGAAC